rnacentral:rRNA from 1 species
GACGAACGCUGGCGGCGUGCUUAACACAUGCAAGUCGAACGAAGUGGCGAACGGGUGAGUAACGCGUAAUCAACCUGCCCUUCAGAGGGGGACAACCGUGGGAAACGACUGCUAAUAACGCAUACUGAAGGGGGGGAGUGUGUCUGAUUGGCUAGUUGGAGGGGUAACGGCCCACCCAUGCGAUGAGCAGUAGACGGUCUGAGACGAGUAGCGGCCUCAUUGGGACUGAGACACGGCCCAGACUCCUACGGUAGGCAGCAGUGGGGAAUCUUCCGCAAUGGACGAAAGUCUGACGGAGCAACGCCGCGGGAGUGAUGACGGCCUUCGGGUUGUAAAGCUCUGUUAAUCGGGACGCGGUACCGGAAUAGAAAGCCACGGCUAACUACGUGCCAGCAGCCGCGGUAAUUC